rnacentral:rRNA from 1 species
UACUUAGUGGCGGACGGGUGAGUAACGCGCGGGUAACCUGCCUUACACUGGGGGAUAACACUUAGAAAUAGGUGCUAAUACCGCAUAAGCGCACGAAGCCGCAUGGAUUUGUGUGAAAAACUCCGGUGGUGUAAGAUGGACCCGCGUCUGAUUAGCUUGUUGGCGGGGUAACGGCCCACCAAGGCGACGAUCAGUAGCCGGCCUGAGAGGGUGGACGGCCACAUUGGGACUGAGACACGGCCCAAACUCCUACGGAAGGCAGCAG